rnacentral:rRNA from 1 species
CCUACGGGACGCACCAGUGGGGAAUAUUGCACAAUGGGCGCAAGCCUGAUGCAGCCAUGCCGCGUAUGAAGAAGGCCUUCGGGUUGUAAAGUACUUUCAGCGGGGAGGAAGGUGUUGAGGUUAAUAACCUCAGCAAUUGACGUUACCCGCAGAAGAAGCACCGGCUAACUCCGUGCCAGCAGCCGCGGUAAUACGGAGGGUGCAAGCGUCAAUCGGAAUUACUGGGCGUAAAGCGCACGCAGGCGGUCUGUCAAGUCGGAUGUGAAAUCCCCGGGCUCAACCUGGGAACUGCAUUCGAAACUGGCAGGCUAGAGUCUUGUAGAGGGGGGUAGAAUUCCAGGCGUAGCGGUGAAAUGCGUAGAGAUCUGGAGGAAUACCGGUGGCGAAGGCGGCCCCCUGGACAAAGACUGACGCUCAGGUGCAAAAGCGUGGGGAGCAAACAGGAUUAGAUACCCGGGUAGUC